ensembl:lncRNA
UUUUUUUUUUUUUUUUCCUAGAAAUGACAGCCAAAGACAGCCAAGCAGUACACAUCUAACGGGGAAGGAAACUCCUGGGCACCUUUUCUUCUUCCCAAAUAUCCAAGCCAAGCUCUUUCUGUAGCUUGGCCCUAACGAUUUGACCAACUGAUUGUCUAAAGGACAAAGCUGCAGGCAGUGGGGCCUGUCCAGGCACUUCCUCUGGGAGGCUUUCCAGUGUGAACCAGUGUCCCCCAGCCCUGCUGGAAGAGCAGCACCCUCACAGCAAGGCCACAGUCAGCGGAAACUGCUUCCUCAGAGACCCCUGGCAGUCGUAAGCUCUUUCCCCCUGUAUUAUUAUUGGGGAGGAGGGCCCAGACCCAAAGCAUAAAUCACCUCCAGCACCACAGAAAUGCUUUUAAUGUCUGUUUCCAAGGGGUUUCAGUGGGUAGGUUUGAACUGGCCACUUUAUGUUUGUUGUUGAAACUGAAAAAUGUGACUUUCUCAAGGCAGAGCUGGAAAGACACUUCUGCUGGGAACUUCCAAAGAGGGUUGUCAGUACAUGUCUUAGCCUAAGUUGGCAGGACCAAGAGCUGCGAUGAGAAGUGAAGAAAUCCCAACAGAAUGGAAGCCAGAGGUUUACCCCGAGGUGGCUCGGUGAGGUGCUGCAGCCAACAGUUCUUUCUGCUAGCCAGUGCCAAUGCCUGUUCUGGAGGCUUCAUGUGUAUUAACACAGUGGGUCCCGAACGAUCAAAGCUCUUAAGCCAGGAAGCACCACCCCACUUUCACGGGAAAGGAGCCCAAGGCCCUGCCAGGUGGAGUGGCUUGGCCCCAACAUACAGAGAGCAUGGGGCAGAGGAAGCCCCUGGACCCAGGACUCUGACACCACACUCCAUGCCCGCAAGCCGAGGCCCCCGCCUCUUUCAUUGCUGCAGAGAUGCCCAGGACAAAGGGCGGCCUGAGCAGAUGUGAUGGAGAGUCCAAAUCUUUGCAUUUUACCUGGGAAAUAAAACUGUCCCUGACAUGGGUGCUAGCAGGAAGCGUGUGUGUGGUGGGGAAUGUGAGCAUGUAUACACGUGAUGAUGCAGGGGCAGCGCCAUGUGCCCGCCUGCACCUCAUGCUCAGCAUCGCAGCCCUUAGAGCUGCACAGAGGACUUCGGGGAGAACCCCUCUGGUCCAGGAGCAGGGGUGGGGGUGAUGGGGGAGCGCCCACAGCCCACCUCACCCCGCCUCCCAGCCGCACAGUGGGGCCGACUACCCAGCUCCCCCACCUCCGAGCUCUUCCGACCAAAGAGCAGCAGCACAGGUGUGCUGGUGACAGAAGAAAGAUGGAGGCGGGGCUUGCCACCUGUUCAGGAGGACCCAAGGAGACCAGGCCUGGAGGGGAGGAGCCUUAGCUGCAGCCUCUGGAGUUGGGGGUGUCCCCAGUCUUCCCACAAAUUCGAGUCCUCAUGGAGGACACACACCUGUCACUUUGGGCAGACGGAGCAACUCCGAGGCGGUGUCCUGCUUCGCUGCCUUGAGCCCCCAUCACUACCGAGGAUGGACUUCCCACUCUCCUGGAGAGGUCCCGUGUCUCACUUACAAACGUUCUUGUUUUUAAAAGAGGUCUAAUUAGGAAAAAAUGAUGUCAACAAAUACUGCCUGGGCAGUGCGCCAAGGUGCCAGUCUCACUCCUUCCCAAGAAUACACCCUCCCAGCCCUUCCAGGCCCCCCGGGGACGGCCCUGGAGGAGGGCGGAGAAGCUUCUCGGCCUCGACACCCAAGCUUCUAAUGGCGAAGCCCUUCCUCAGAUAUUGCUGGUCCGGAUACACCUCGAAACACGAGGAGUGAAAAUCAUCCCCUCAUCCCCCCUCCAGAUAAUCCUCUUAGUUAUUCUUAUUUUAUUUUGGUCUUUUAAGGGAUGCAGUCACAGCAUAUGGAGGUUCCCAGGCUCGGGGUCAAAUCAGAGCCACAGCCACGGGCUUACACCACACCCACAAGGGACCCAAGCCACGUCUGCAACCUACACCAUAGCUCACGGCAUCGCUGGAUCCUUAACCCACUGAGCAAGGCCAGGGACCAAACCUGCAACCUCAUGGUUCCCAGUCGGAUUCGUUUCGGCUGUGCCACGACGGGAACUCCUCUCUUAGUUACUCUUGAACACCCGCCAGCUGCUCCUUCUGAUCCCCUCUGCCAUGGUGGGAGGCCUUUCCACAUCAUCUUGGAAACCAGUGGCCUCCACAUGGCAUUUCCAAAGCAGAAAAGCAAGACCUCCUUCGUAGAGUUUCUGCCUGUCCAUUUUCUGCUUCCCGUGGAAAACGUCACCUGCGUCCCUCUGAGAGGAACCGCCUCCCCAGCAGGAAUCCCUCUUGAAUCCCCAGGGAGCACAGUCGGGUGGGGAGGACACAGAGGAGGAGGCAGGGCAGCUGCUCACCCCUCUUCCUCUGGGUGCCCCCUCCCAGGGUCCUCACCCGAGCUCAGGAGGCACCCCGGGCCUGGGUCCCAGCUCAGCCACUAGAAUCUGUGCAGGGACAAGUUAACUGCUGCUCCUCAGCUUCCUCGCUAAUAAAUCAGAACCAUAAUGUCUGCAGCAUAAGAGCGGCUGUGAGGAUCACAUAAGAUGACGUCUACAAGUCGUCUGGCACCUCAUAGGUCCUCAGGAGAUGCUGGUUCUAUGGGUCACCUAGAGCAGAGGGGGGCUGGAUUCAGGGUGUAGGAUGCCAGUCAGCUCUCUCUCUCUCUGCACCAGAGGCACAACAAACAAUGUUUCUUGCCUCAAGGAGAGACCGAAGGUUAGUUGCCGCCAACACUUCUUGCUUCUUUCAACUUGCACGAGCCAGCAACUACCUCCCUUGUUGUAUUCCAAGUGCUACGUAACGGAGUACGUCGGUCCAAUGCUCUCACGGAAAGAAGGGUAUGAGAGCACCACAGACACCUCUGCAGAGACCCAGGCAGACAGACAGGCCAGGGCUCUGAGCAAGGUGGCCAUUCUGGGGUUCCUCACUCCCUCACACUUCCUAGCAGAGACCUGGGAUGCAGGCUUCCCCAGGACACAAGUCUGUACCUGCUCAGGUCCCAGAAAAGCGCCUGGCAGACGGGAGCCCUCCAAAAUAUGUGUGGAAUGAGCAAACGAUGACUGACCAAAAACAAGUAGGGGGAGUUCCUGUUGUGGCUCAGCGGUAAUGAACCCAACUAGCAUCCAUGAGGAUUCGGGUUCGAUCCCUGGCCCCACUCGGUGGGGUGGGUGAAGGAGCUGGCAUUGCCAUGAGCUGCAGUGUAGACUGCCGAUGCGGCCUGAAUCCCAUGUUGCUGUGGCUGUGGUAUAGGCCAGCAGCUAUAGCUCUGAUUCAAUCCCUAGGCCUGGGAUCUCCCAUAGGCCAAGGGUGUGACCCCAAAAAGCAGGAAAAAAAAGAAAGAAAGAGAGGAAGGAAGAAGAAAAAAUAGUGACUGAAUGAAAACUUUGGGGAAGAAGAGCUUCAAAGGCAGCUGGCCUCAGAUCUGAUUUCUAUCCCACCACUUCCCAUCAGUGAGCUGCCUGAGAGGCACUCACCUGCCUCCACUCCAUUGCCUUAUUUCCAAGGUAGAGAGAAAUCCCAUCAACACUGGGACAGUCUUCUGGAUUAGAGACAGCACGUGUAAAACACACCGCAUGCGGAGAAGAAAGCAGAGUGGCCUGGCCCCUCAGGUAGUUCCUCUGAGGACCUGGAGUCGGAGGCUCUGGCUCUCACAUCUGGAGGGAUGUGGUGACUGCUGCUGGUGACCCUGAAGUACUGCACACCUUGGAUCCCCCAACACAGAGCAGGAAGCCCGCAUGUCCACGACUCUCGGUCCCGACCAAGAGUUUCUCAAGGAAGAUCAUGUUCUUAUAAGGAAACAGCUCAGCCUCCUCUGCGGUGGCCCUUGGGACAAAUGAUCCACACUGGCAAGGCCUUGUCCUCAUCGCUGCCGACCGUGUACCUGGCCAUCACCUUCCCUCUCAGCACGUGUGCCCUCUCUUUCCAGCUUGGGUGACUCAACGCCAGAGCUAUGAAGGGGAGCCAUGCUUCCCCUCCAUGGGGAUCACUUGGCUAAGGCAUGGACACGAGAUCUGCAAAGCAGUUUGGUCAACUACAUACCAACAAGCAAUCUCACUUCCCAAAACACCGUGCCUUCCAAGAUCAACUUAUUCCCACCAUAUCAACAUUCAGUCUGUUUGUACUAGUUUGGUUUCGAUGGGACUUGUAUCAGUAUAAAUAUUACUUUAGCUUUUAACUGCUAAUUAUAUCAACAUAAACUCAAUUUAUAGCGAUAAUCACAGUCAUAAUGAGCUUCUGCCAAACACUGCCACGGACGCUUCGAGGCAUCGUGUGAACUCCGCCAUUAGCAGUCAUGUAAGUGCUCCCAUUACUCAUGAGGAUGCUGGCUAAAGGACCUCUCUAAGAAACUCCUUCCCAAAGUCCAUGGUAGGUGAGAACACCAGAGGACUGGACAAUGUGGAUCCAUUUAUUACAGCCUGCUUGUUUCUUACAAUAGCCCAGGCUGGUAAUAGAUUGCAAAGGAGGACCUCCAUCUGGCAGGAACACAGUCUCAGUUUUCAACCUGGUGUAGGUCACAUUGUAUCAACUGCAUCAUAACACUCUCAUUCAGACAAAUGCCAAAUAACGCUCAGUCAUACCAUGUGCUACUUCUAUCUCCCUAUGUCAGGAUACAAAAAGGGAAAUUUGCUGCAUCGUGUGAAUUCAGACUGCUUUUUUAACUCAAGAGAUUAAAAGUGCUUUACUAACUUCAACUAGGGCUCCUUUUUCAGUGACAGUUUACUGGAUGUUUGUUUCUGCCACUCGGUAUUCACCUCCCCCCUCCACUGAGUGGACAGUACCCCAGUUCUUCUAGGGGAACCCCCUAUACCCCACACGCUCAGCUCAUAUUGUUCUUGUAAAGAAGGCUCCAUGUCUCUGCUCUAGGAAUGAAGCAUGUGAUGAUCAUCCAAUCAGCACAUUCCACCCACACUCUGUCCACCGUGAUUGGUUCAGGGCUGAGCACAUGACCCACAUCUGGCCAAUGACGGACAAUGAGACUCAAAUAUGGGAAGUAAAAUUCCUCUUUUUCCCCUGAGGUCUGAGACUCAGAGGCAGGUGCUUUGGGGUUUCUUACAGCCUCAAUCUGCUGACCCCACGGAAGAUGCUGACUCAGAAUGAAGGAGCCUAUGGAGGAGAACUCAGCGGAAGACAAAGAGUCAGAGAGAAACAAGUGUCAGUGACAUUUAAGCUCCUGUAUCACAGCCCUUUCCCUGGACUUUUCAAUUAUAGGACUCAAGAAUCCCAUUUAGCUCAUCGUAGUCGGGCUGUUCACUAUCACUCGCAGGCAAAGUAUCCUGGUUGAUACAGGCAGCAGGUGGACAUUGGGUAAGAUUUUACAUAUUUCUAAGAUGAAGAAAUAGGAGCAUAAAGAAAGAAUGUCCAGUCAGUAAUGAAGCUGAAGACAGAAAGGUGAGCAGAUCCUAAAUAUUCCAGAACCAAAGCAACCUGCAAAUACAAAAGAGUUUUAACAACAUUCAAAAAUCAGAAGCUGGGGUGGCAGGUACAAAAACCUAAGUCUUUUCCUUUUCACAUACUUGUGAUUCUCCAGUUGUUUGGGGGCUAAAGAAAGGAAACCCUUGGAGAGACAAACAGAAGCAUCAGGAGAGAUGCAGAGACUCCAAGGGGGCCGGUAGGGAGUCAGUGAAAUGAUCAAUUCCAAAUUCAGCAAAGUUGGUGAGAGACUAAAGUAAAAUUUGAGAAGCUGGCUAUGUGAGACCCUCUUGUCCUUGGGAAAUCUGGUUGCAUGUGUGAGGCUGAGUCAGUGGGAGGAAAAUCAAAUCCUCAGGGCUUUUGAAGACGCAGGUUUUCAUCUCCAAAUCCGUCUUCGUAGCGCCCCAGCCCCUGCUCUCUGCCACGCUGGUGCUGGAGCACGUUAUCUGUCAGGGUCCCCCCAAUUAGCACUUGGAAUGCAAUCACAACACUGGAGAGCGUGCCCUCAUCUGCCAGGGGCGGGCUGGUUUCUGCAAUUAAACUAAAGUUCACGUUUUGGCUAAUAACAGGAGAGAAAUGUGACAGUGAAGGGAAGGCGUACUCAUUAACUCAUGCUAAUGGGUGCUGUAACCACCCAGCCACCAGCCCGCCAGCGUGAGAGCCGGCACGCAGUGUCACUCUGAUCGCAGAGUGUUUGCAGGUUUAUUUCGCAACAUGGCUGAGGUCUGGCAGUUAUCUAAUCGGGAGUGGUUUUAAGGGAAGUGAAAAGGAUGAGCUUGUUUUAAGUGCCGGUCUUAGGUCUCAAUAUUUUAUGAAAUAGUCAUUAAUUUUCAAUACAAGACUGAUAGGGAUAUUACAAGUCUUGCGGUGCGUAGGCAGAAAACGAUCCCUGGAUACCCUAGGAGUUCGCGGAACGUUGGGGAAACAAUUAUCUCUUAUUUAUGUAAGGCAAAUGGCAAUUAUCACACCAGUCCAACUUGUCGAAGAAGAUAGGUCACUACAAAGAAGGGGACAGACCGAGUGUGACACCGGGUGUUCAAGAAAAUGUGGAGAAUGAAGUUAUUUUUACUUGAUGCAGAAACAAACCCUAUGAUCCACUGGUUCGAUUAUUCCUUGAACCCGAGUGCACUGAGUAUGAACCUAUGAAAUGGUAGCCACUCUGACGGGCGCAGCAUGUGCAGCUGUCAAGAAAGCAGAAACUGCCCUGAUCCCC